AGGAGCCGUAUGAGGUGAAAAUCUCAUGUACGGUUUUGGACUAGCGAACAUGCAUAAUCAAGCAAGUUCUAGAAUAACAAAUCAAAACUGACGCACU
rnacentral:ncRNA from 1 species